rnacentral:lncRNA from 1 species
GUGUGGAGCGGGGCAUCUCCGUCCCGCCCCAGGACGGCCCAACAGGCAGCAGGCGCCCCCAUAAAGACGGGUGGCCGGUGGAUGAACCAAGGAGCAAAACGGACUCGGAGAGACCUGUGGUGACCAGCUCAGGAAUGGAGCUUCGUCUCUAAAGAUUUCUGUAAGUCCGACAAAUCUGCUACAGCCCAUCACUGCUGACCCGCCUGCUGGCAUCCCAGCCACAGGACUCUGUGUCCAGAGCAGAGCUCCCCUGGAGAUGUCUGCAGUGAGUCCUGGAGCCGCCUUGACGGGGGAGGUAGGAAGCCUCAUCUGUGUGUCUGGUCUGGUACUAAUUAGCUGUGUGACCUUGGGCAUGUCACUUAACCUCUCUGGUCUGUUUACUCUUCCGUUGAAUGGCGUGCCGGAUUAACUCAUUUGGAAGUUCCUUUGAGCACAGAAGUCCGUGAGGAGGGGAGGGCUCCUAGCCCGGUGCCUAGGAGAGAGCAGGCCUUCGA